GCAAAAUAUGCUGCUGUGAAGAAACUUCAUAUAAUAAGGAUGAUCAUCUACAUAUACUGAACAUUACCAACGAGAGUAAAUGAUGAGUUUGGAGCUUCAGGGGAAAGUGCUUUCCUGGUUUUGAGUCUUCCGUGCAAAGUGAGUGAGUCUUUGAGUCAUCCGCUAUCAGAGUGUCCUGACAUAGAUGUCAUGUGUGAUAUUCCUGACAUAGAUGUCAUCGGAAUCUCCGGUAAACUUCUGUUCAGACAAGAAACCUGCAGUGUGAACUGGAUCGAGGGACGUGGCAAAUCAGUGGUUUGCGAGGCGGUAAUCAGAGAAGAGAUCAGGAACAAUAUAUGAGUGUACAUUAGUUAUUUAAACCUCUUUCAAAUCAGUGGUUUGCUUUUUAAUUAUUGUUUCUAUCUGAGUUACAAUAACAGCAUGACAUUAGUUAUUUACACCUCUUUCAAAGAUCUGGCUCUCUUCAUUAUUUGCUAUUGAAGAUUAUUGAUAGCC